UGGGGGAUAUUGCACAAUGGGCGAAAGCCUGAUGCAGCGACGCCGCGUGGGGGAUGAAGGCUUUCGGGUUGUAAACCUCUUUCGCUAUCGAACAAGGCCUGCUUAGGGUGGGUUGAGGGUAGGUGGAGAAGAAGCGCCGGCUAACUACGUGCCAGCAGCCGCGGUAAUACGUAGGGCGCGAGCGUUGUCCGGAAUUAUUGGGCGUAAAGGGCUUGUCGGCGGCUUGUUGCGCCUGCUGUGAAAACGCGGGGCUUAACUUCGCGCGUGCAGUGGAUACGGGCAGGCUUGAGUGUGGUAGGGGUGACUGGAAUUCCAGGUGUAGCGGUGGAAUGCGCAGAUAUCUGGAGGAACACCGAUGGCGAAGGCAGGUCACUGGGCCAUUACUGACGCUGAGGAGCGAAAGCAUGGGUAGCGAACAGG
rnacentral:rRNA from 1 species